rnacentral:rRNA from 1 species
UACGGAAGGUCCGGGCGUUAUCCGGAUUUAUUGGGUUUAAAGGGAGCGCAGGCGGGUUGUUAAGCGUGACGUGAAAUGUAGCCGCUCAACGGCUGAACUGUGUCGCGAACUGGCAGCCUUGAGUGAGUGCGACGUCAGCGGAAUUCGUGGAGUAGCUGUGAAAUGCUUAGAUAUCACGAAGAACCCCGAUUGCGAAGGCAGCUGACGAGCCCUUUACUGACGCUAAAGCUCGAAGGUGCGGGUAUCGAAC